rnacentral:rRNA from 1 species
GACGAACGCUGGCGGCGUGCCUAAUACAUGCAAGUUGAGCGCUGAAGACUGGUACUUGUACCGGUUGGAUGAGCAGCGAACGGGUGAGUAACGCGUGGGUAACCUGCCCUAUAGAGGGGGAUAACUAGAGGAAACUUUAGCUAAUACCGCAUAAAAUCUAAUAACACAUGUUAUAAGAUUGAAAGUGCCAAAUGGUACACUAUAGGAUGGACCCGCGUUGUAUUAGCUAGUUGGUGAGGUAAUAGCUCACCAAGGCGAUGAUACAUAGCCGACCUGAGAGGGUGAUCGGCCACACUGGGACUGAGACACGGCCCAGACUCCUACGGGAGGCAGCAGUAGGGAAUCUUCGGCAAUGGACGAAAGUCUGACCGAGCAACGCCGCGUGAGUGAAGAAGGUUUUCGGAUCGUAAAACUCUGUUGUAAGAGAAGAACACCAGUAAGAGUGGAAAGCUUACUGGCUGACGGUAUCUUACCAGAAAGCCACGGCUAACUACGUGCCAGCCGCCGCGGUAACAC